AUGACGACCACGACCACCACGACGAAGACGGCGCUGCGCCACCGCGGGUGCUGCGGGCACGCGCCGGCGCCGGCGGAGGACGGCGGCGACCUGGUGGCGCUGUCGAGCGCGGCGGCGGAGGGGCUCGGGAAAGAGGCCGCCAGGUGGGCCGGCGGGCUGCCGCGGCUGAAGCGGUUCGAGGAGCUGCCGGACUACCUCCGCGACAACGAGUUCAUCCGCGGCGGCUACCGCUGCGAGUGGUCCGUCCGCGACGCGCUCCGCAGCGUCUUCGCCUGGCACAACGAGACGCUCAACGUCUGGACCCAUCUGGGGGGCUUCUUCCUGUUCCUGGGGCUCGCCGUCGCCGGCCAGACGGAGUGGCGGCCGGCCGGAGCAGCCGCGGCGCCGGGGUUCAUGACGAUGGUGAUGACGUCCGCCAACGCGUCGUCGUUGGCGACCAACAACAGUUCGGUAAGAAAACGAAAACUCCUUCAUCACUCGACGACUAAUCCAACCGCAUCUUCACUAAGCACGGCGAUCCAGAGCGCGCUGGCGUCGGGCAUCGGCGGCGCGGGGCACGCGGUGGCGCGGUGGCCGCGGACGGUGUUCGUGUUGGGGGCCAUGACGUGCCUGUCGGUGAGCGCUGCGGCGCACCUGCUGGCAAGCCACUCGCGCCGCUUCAACCGGCUCUUCUGGCAGCUCGACUACGCCGGCAUCGCCGUCAUGAUCGUCGCCUCCUUCUUCCCGCCGGUCUACUACACCUUCCUCGGCAGCCCCGUCGCACAGCUCGCCUACCUCUCCGCCAUCACGCUGCUCGGCGUGCUCGUCGUGGCGGCGCUCCUGGUGCCGGCCCGCUCGUCGCCGCGGCUGCGGCACCUCCGCGCCGGCCUGUUCGUGUCCAUGGGGCUCUCGGGCGUCGUGCCGGCGCUGCACGCGCUCUGGCUCAACUGGGGCCACCCGGAGUGCUACCUGGCGCUGUCGCUGGAGCUGGCCAUGGGGCUCGUGUACGCCACGGGCGCCGGCUUCUACGUCGCGCGCGUGCCGGAGCGGUGGCGCCCGGGCAUGUUCGACUGCGUCGGCCACAGCCACCAGAUCUUCCACGUGCUGGUGCUCGUCGGCGCCGUCACGCACUACGCCGCCACCGCCAUCCUCAUCGGCUGGCGCGACGCCCUGGCCGCGGCCGCGUCGGCGCUCUUGUGA
rnacentral:rRNA from 1 species